rnacentral:rRNA from 1 species
AACCAACAGGGAUUGCCCCAGUAACGGCGAGUGAAGCGGCAACAGCUCAAAUUUGAAAUCUGGCUUCGGCCCGAGUUGUAAUUUGCAGAGGAUGCUUUUGGUGCGGUGCCUUCCGAGUUCCCUGGAACGGGACGCCACAGAGGGUGAGAGCCCCGUAUGGUCGGACACCAAUCCUGUGUAAAGCUCCUUCGACGAGUCGAGUAGUUUGGGAAUGCUGCUCUAAAUGGGAGGUAAAUCUCUUCUAAAGCUAAAUACCGGCCAGAGACCGAUAGCGCACAAGUAGAGUGAUCGAAAGAUGAAAAGCACCUUGAAAAGGGGGUUAAACAGUACGUGAAAUUGUUGAAAGGGAAGCACUUGUGACCAGACUUGGGCCGGGCGGCUCAUCAGGGGUUCUCCCCUGUGCAUUCCGCCCGGUACAGGCCAGCAUCGGUUCUUACCGGGGGAUAAGAACGGCAGGAACGUGGCUCCCUCUCGGGGGAGUGUUAUAGCCUGCCGUACGAUACCCUGGCGGGGACCGAGG